rnacentral:rRNA from 1 species
UACAGAGGUCUCAACCGUUGUUCGGAUUCAUUGGGCGUAAAGGGUGCGUAGGCGGUCGCGCAAGUCGGAUGUGAAAUCUCAGGGCUCAACCCUGAAACUGCAUUCGAUACUACAUGGCUAGAGCAUUGGAGAGGGUAGCAGAAUUCAUGGUGUAGCAGUGAAAUGCGUAGAUAUCAUGAGGAAUACCAGAGGCGAAGGCGGCUACCUGGACAACACCUGACACUGAGGCACGAAAGCUAGGGGAGCAAACAGG